rnacentral:tRNA from 1 species
UCCCUAGUGGCUCAGAUGGUAAAGAAUCUGCCUGUAAUGCAGGAAACCUGGGUUCGAUCCCUGGUCAGGGAG